UACGUAGGGUGCAAGCGUUGUCCGGAAUUAUUGGGCGUAAAGAGCUCGUAGGCGGUCUGUUGAGUCUGAUGUGAAAACCCGAGGCUCAACCUCGGGCCUGCAGUGGGUACUGGGAGACUAGAGUGCGGUAGGGGAGAUUGGAAUUCCUGGUGUAGCGGUGGAAUGCGCAGAUAUCAGGAGGAACACCGAUGGCGAAGGCAGGUCUGUGGGCCGUAACUGACGCUGAGGAGCGAAAGCGUGGGGAGCGAACAGG
rnacentral:misc_RNA from 1 species